GGGUGAUUAGCUCAGCUGGUUAGAGCGUCCGGUUUACAUCCGGAAGGUCGGGGGUUCGAUCCCCUCAUCACCCA
rnacentral:tRNA from 1 species